rnacentral:rRNA from 1 species
AAUCAAGGCUGAGGCGUGAUGACGAGGCACUACGGUGCUGAAGCAACAAAUGCCCUGCUUCCAGGAAAAGCCUCUAAGCAUCAGGUAACAUCAAAUCGUACCCCAAACCGACACAGGUGGUCAGGUAGAGAAUACCAAGGCGCUUGAGAGAACUCGGGUGAAGGAACUAGGCAAAAUGGUGCCGUAACUUCGGGAGAAGGCACGCUGAUAUGUAGGUGAAGUCCCUCGCGGAUGGAGCUGAAAUCAGUCGAAGAUACCAGCUGGCUGCAACUGUUUAUUAAAAACACAGCACUGUGCAAACACGAAAGUGGACGUAUACGGUGUGACGCCUGCCCGGUGCCGGAAGGUUAAUUGAUGGGGUCAGCGCAAGCGAAGCUCUUGAUCGAAGCCCCGGUAAACGGCGGCCGUAACUAUAACGGUCCUAAGGUAGCGAAAUUCCUUGUCGGGUAAGUUCCGACCUGCACGAAUGGCGUAAUGAUGGCCAGGCUGUCUCCACCCGAGACUCAGUGAAAUUGAACUCGCUGUGAAGAUGCAGUGUACCCGCGGCAAGACGGAAAGACCCCGUGAACCUUUACUAUAGCUUGACACUGAACAUUGAGCCUUGAUGUGUAGGAUAGGUGGGAGGCUUUGAAGUGUGGACGCCAGUCUGCAUGGAGCCGACCUUGAAAUACCACCCUUUAAUGUUUGAUGUUCUAACGUGGACCCGUGAUCCGGGUUGCGGACAGUGUCUGGUGGGUAGUUUGACUGGGGCGGUCUCCUCCUAAAGAGUAACGGAGGAGCACGAAGGUUGGCUAAUCCUGGUCGGACAUCAGGAGGUUAGUGCAAUGGCAUAAGCCAGCUUGACUGCGAGCGUGACGGCGCGAGCAGGUGCGAAAGCAGGUCAUAGUGAUCCGGUGGUUCUGAAUGGAAGGGCCAUCGCUCAACGGAUAAAAGGUACUCCGGGGAUAACAGGCUGAUACCGCCCAAGAGUUCAUAUCGACGGCGGUGUUUGGCACCUCGAUGUCGGCUCAUCACAUCCUGGGGCUGAAGUAGGUCCCAAGGGUAUGGCUGUUCGCCAUUUAAAGUGGUACGCGAGCUGGGUUUAGAACGUCGUGAGACAGUUCGGUCCCUAUCUGCCGUGGGCGCUGGAGAACUGAGGGGGGCUGCUCCUAGUACGAGAGGACCGGAGUGGACGCAUCACUGGUGUUCGGGUUGUCAUGCCAAUGGCACUGCCCGGUAGCUAAAUGCGGAAGAGAUAAGUGCUGAAAGCAUCUAAGCACGAAACUUGCCCCGAGAUGAGUUCUCCCUGACCCUUUAAGGGUCCUGAAGGAACGUUGAAGACGACGACGUUGAUAGGCCGGGUGUGUAAGCGCAGCGAUGCGUUGAGCUAACCGGUACUAAUGAACCGUGAGGCUUAACCUUACAACGCCGAAGGUGUUU